rnacentral:snRNA from 1 species
GGGUGUUAAAAUGGGUAACCCAA